GUGUGAUUUUAGUGGCAGACAGAGAGGCCUUGACAGGAUUUGCGAUGCCAUCAAUGCCAGGAAUUGCGUUGUGUGUCACAGAACCUAAUAGCCUUUCCCCGUGCAAGCCGUGAUUAUCGGUGGCUCAGGCAUGUCACUUUGGCACAGACCCACACGGGGCUGUCACAGGGCAUGUGUUGGGGUUAGUGUGUCAGGUGCUGGGGCUGAGAAGUGUCUCCUGUGGAAUUUGGGGGAAAUGGGAGCGGCCCCAGCUGAUGGUGUGGGUUGCCAUGCGACAGGACCGCUGUCUCCAAGUGCAGCACAGACCUGGCCUGCUCGCUGUGCUCCCCGUGGGCAGAGGCUGCGGCUUCCCUGCCUCAGCGAACCAGAGGGAGACAGGGGUUAGGUUCUUCUGUCACACCCAUCCUGGCAGCAGCUGGCUCCCAGGAAAGAGGAUGGUGUGCCCUAUCCAUCCUGUGGUGCUGUGCAUGGAGAGAGACCCUGGCAUGCCCUCAGCACUACUAGACCAUGCAGUGCAGAAGAUGCUGGUGGGGGAGCAGCUUUUGUACACCAAUGAUGAUGCUGUCAGCAAUCAGGACAAGCCCUUGCAAACAGUCUGCAAUGAUGCUGGGAUCUGCAAAUGGUGCUCUCAAAUCAGAGUAAGAUUAGCUGGAAUUCACUUCAGUAAAUACAGUAAAACAAAAGGCUGCUGUUAGAGCUAGGGCUACUUUGACUUCAGGAUUUUAGUUUCUACUUUCCAUGUCAUUCCAAAUUGGUUUGUCCUUAUGCAUAGUGACCACAAAAACAGGCUGAGAGACCAAGGGCUAUCUGAGCUAAUACUUGUUGACAUAUUUUUAAAUAUGAGUAUAGAGCUCUUUCCAAAAGGAAUCAAAAGCUUCUGGCAAGUUUGAAAACAGGGAAGAUAACUGAUACUGCAUUGUAAGUAUUCAAAUUAAGACUUCCUCUACUCCUUCAUAAACUCUUCUAGAAACAUGUCUAUGCUCAAAAGGCCACAGGCUAUUUUCAUCUGUAUUUCAUUAUAAAAAGAAGAUUGAGAAGUGACUCAAUUACAUUGUAUAAGCACCUUCACAGAAAGAAAAUGCUGGGUGCUAAAGAGCUCUCUCACCUAGCAGGGAAAUGUCUGAAAACUAACGUUGAAUUUGAAAAUAAAGCAAAUGUUUCCAAGACCCUGCUGGAACUCUGCUAGGAUUCUCAGUGAUUUCCAGUUGUCUUCAUUCCUUCAGACCAAGACAACAUGUUUUCCUGAUCAACAUUCUUUAGUAGAAGGUGUUAAUCAAAGUACAGGUAUUGAGCUUGAAUGAAAGGGUAUUUUAGUGGUCUAUUAGCUUUUGCUGUGUAAAUUGGGAUAGAAGAUGUAAUGGUCCUUUCUUGCCUCAACAUCUCAGUUGGUAUGAUACUGCCUUGUCCAUCAUAGGUGAACUUCAACAAAUAUUUGGAGUUGUUUUGAAUGGGAGAAGAAACUAUUGGAUCCUUGUUUUUUUUCCUAGCAUUUCAGUUGCAUAACAAAGCAUUGUCUCCAUCAGAAGAACUCUGCAAUUAAGGAAUUUAACAUUUACUUCCUCUCAUUCCCAAACAUCUGGUAGCUCCUAUUAUUGCUAUAUUAAGAGUUAAUUUUUCAAGUCUGAGUGUGUGCAAUAUUACAAAUACACUGCAGCUGUGUGUGCCCAGUGGUGGCUGUGUUCAGUGUUGCGUGUGCAGGAGGGAUAGUAACCGCCUGUGCAGGCGCUUGGACAAGGGCACGUCUGUCUCGCACAGACAGCUGAGUAUCCAUUGCUACUGAAGAUCUGCCUUGGUUGGAGUCAGAGCGUGUGGCAGUCUGGGGGAAGGCCUUCUAAGCUGUUUUAGAUGAGUAAAAUAGGAAAGUGCUAACUAGUUAAGCUUAUUAGCUGGGCAAUAUUACAUCACACCAAUAUUGAAAAUAGAGAUCCUGUGCUAUAGCCCAACUGCUUGAGCACGGCUUGAGUGCUGCUCUUCUGCUGUGACUCUUUGGAUGUGGCCAGCUGCAUAUAGCGGUAUUUGAAUUCAUCAGUGUUUCAAAAGAACAUUAAAAUUUAACAAGUACAUUUAACUAAAAAAUCUAUAUCUUAAUAGCACGGAGGUAGUGAUAAAAGGGAGGCAAUUCAGGCUAAGAUGUUGCAUUAACUUCCCUGUGAAUGGACCUUUCAGACAGUGUGGAGCCAGGCUGAAGUCAAUGAACUAAGGCCGGUUUCUUCACCCAAUGCAGCCUGUGCCUCAGCUCAGACGGCUUCAGAGCCUCUUCUUUGGCUUUAACAAGAAUUUUAUUUUUGUCAUAUUUUUUUCUUUAAAUAACACAAAACUAAAAACAC
rnacentral:lncRNA from 1 species